rnacentral:rRNA from 1 species
AUUGAACGCUGGCGGCAGGCCUAACACAUGCAAGUCGAGCGGAUGAAGGGAGCUUGCUCCUGGAUUCAGCGGCGGACGGGUGAGUAAUGCCUAGGAAUCUGCCUGGUAGUGGGGGAUAACGUCCGGAAACGGGCGCUAAUACCGCAUACGUCCUGAGGGAGAAAGUGGGGGAUCUUCGGACCUCACGCUAUCAGAUGAGCCUAGGUCGGAUUAGCUAGUUGGUGGGGUAAAGGCCUACCAAGGCGACGAUCCGUAACUGGUCUGAGAGGAUGAUCAGUCGCACUGGAACUGAGACACGGUCCUGACUCCUACGGGAGGCAGCAGUGGGGAAUAUUGGACAAUGGGCGAAAGCCUGAUCCAGCCAUGCCGCGUGUGUGAAGAAGGUCUUCGGAUUGUAAAGCACUUUAAGUUGGGAGGAAGGGCAGUAAGUUAAUACCUUGCUGUUUUGACGUUACCAACAGAAUAAGCACCGGCUAACCUCGUG